GACGAACGCUGGCGGCGUGCCUAAUACAUGCAAGUCGAACGCUUCUUUCCUCCCGAGUGAUUACACUCAAUUGGAAAGAUGAGUAGCUGACGGGGUAGUAACCCGGUGGUAACCUACUCGUCAGCGGGGGCUAACACUUGGAAACACGUGCUAAUACCGCUGAACAUUUUAUGCCACAUGUCAUACGACUGAGAGGCGCUUUCGGAGGUCGCUGCGGGUUGGACCCGCGGUGCAUUAGCUAGUUGGUGAGGUAAAGGCUCACCAAGACCACGAUGCAUAGCCGACCUGAGAGGGUGAUCGGCCACACUGGGACUGAGACACGGCCCAGACUCCUACGGGAGGCAGCAGUAGGGAAUCUUCGGCAAUGGACGAAAGUCUGACCGAGCAACGCCGCGUGAGUGAAGAAGGUUUUCGGAUCGUAAAACUCUGUUGUUAGAGAAGAACGAGGAUGUUAGUAACUGAACGGCUAGUGACGGUAUCUAACCAGAAAGCCACGGCUAACUACGUG
rnacentral:rRNA from 1 species